rnacentral:rRNA from 1 species
UACGAAGGGGGCUAGCGUUGCUCGGAAUUACUGGGCGUAAAGGGCGCGUAGGCGGACAUUUAAGUUAGAGGUGAAAGCCCAGGGCUCAACCCUGGAAUAGCCUUUAAUACUGGAUGUCUUGAGUUCGGGAGAGGUGAGUGGAAUGCCGAGUGUAGAGGUGAAAUUCGUAGAUAUUCGGCGGAACACCAGUGGCGAAGGCGACUCACUGGCCCGAUACUGACGCUGAGGCGCGAAAGCGUGGGGAGCAAACAGGG